GAUGAACGCUGGCGGCGUGCCUAAUACAUGCAAGUCGAGCGAACGGACGAGAAGCUUGCUUCUCUGAUGUUAGCGGCGGACGGGUGAGUAACACGUGGAUGACCUACCUAUAAGACUGGGAUAACUUCGGGAAACCGGAGCUAAUACCGGAUAAUAUUUUGAACCGCAUGGUUCAAAAGUAAAAGACGGUCUUGCUGUCACUUAUAGAUGGAUCCGCGCUGCAUUAGCUAGUUGGUAAGGUAACGGCUUACCAAGGCAACGAUGCAUAGCCGACCUGAGAGGGUGAUCGGCCACACUGGAACUGAGACACGGUCCAGACUCCUACGGGAGGCAGCAGUAGGGAAUCUUCCGCAAUGGGCGAAAGCCUGACGGAGCAACGCCGCGUGAGUGAUGAAGGUCUUCGGAUCGUAAAACUCUGUUAUUAGGGAAGAACAUAUGUGUAAGUAACUGUGCACAUCUUGACGGUACCUAAUCAGAAAGCCACGGCUAACUACGUG
rnacentral:rRNA from 1 species